rnacentral:rRNA from 1 species
GAUGAACGCUAGCGGGAGGCCUAAUACAUGCAAGUCGAACGGUAGAGUGUCUUCGGAUGCUUGAGAGUGGCGCACGGGUGCGUAACGCGUAUGCAACUUACCCUGAACAGGGGGAUAGCCCAGAGAAAUUUGGAUUAAUACCCCAUAAUGAUAAUGUAUCGCAUGGUAUAUUUUUUAAAGAUUUAUUGGUUCGGGAUGGGCAUGCGUAUGAUUAGUUAGUUGGUAAGGUAAUGGCUUACCAAGACAUCGAUCAUUAGCGGGUCUGAGAGGAUGAUCCGCCACACUGGAACUGAGACACGGUCCAG